AUGGUUGCAUACGAUUUAUGCAGGUCCAGUGCAAAGGAUAAGAAUAGCAUAUCAGAAUUUUACAGAAGGAACAUAGUUAUUUUCAUGUUGCGGUUGAAGAGAGGUUUGUUGCAGAAAGAUUAUUGUAUGGUUAUUGUUUUGUGUAGUAGUUGCUACACUAAAGUGUAUGAAGGUUAUGGAGAGAGGAAAGGAGGUUUACAACGAUUAUUUGGACUGGUUUGUGAACCUUUUUUAUGGACAGUAGGAGCAGAGCAUCAUCAGGUUUCUUGGACUGGUGUAGGCAGUGGAAAGUUUGGAUAG